rnacentral:rRNA from 1 species
UACGAAGGGGGCUAGCGUUGCUCGGAAUUACUGGGCGUAAAGGGCGCGUAGGCGGACAGUUUAGUCAGAGGUGAAAGCCCAGGGCUCAACCUUGGAAUUGCCUUUGAUACUGACUGUCUUGAGUACGGGAGAGGUGUGUGGAACUCCGAGUGUAGAGGUGAAAUUCGUAGAUAUUCGGAAGAACACCAGUGGCGAAGGCGACACACUGGCCCGUUACUGAUGCUGAGGCGCGAAAGCGUGGGGAGCAAACAGG